GACCGAGGGGGCAAGCGUUGCUCGGAAUCACUGGGCGUAAAGGGAGCGUAGGCGGCGUGGUAAGUCAGAUGUGAAAUCCCGGGGCUCAACCCCGGAACUGCAUCCGAUACUGCCGUGCUUGAGGGUUGGAGAGGUAGCUGGAAUUCUCGGUGUAGCAGUGAAAUGCGUGGAUAUCGAGAGGAACACUCGUGGCGAAGGCGAGCUACUGGACAACAUCUGACGCUGAGGCUCGAAGGCCAGGGGAGCAAAAGGG
rnacentral:rRNA from 1 species